rnacentral:rRNA from 1 species
AUGGCAGCCUCUCCGGCUGAAGUUCUCCAGCGUUGCAAGAGGCAAAAGAAGGACCCCAGUUGUCUGGGAAACUCGCCGGUCCUUCCGGCCACGGCAACUGCAGACUGGUCCUCGCUCCAGCUCGACAUAGUCCGCCGCAUCGCCGACUCCUUCCUCGCCACCAAUGACAUUGACUGCUACAUGGACUUGCGCGCCGUCUGCCACAGCUGGCGUUCCGCCACCCACGACCCCAAGGACAACAUUUUGGACCACCGGUUCCUUCCGCGCCGAUGGAUCAUCCUCGACGAGGUCUUUCAGAGUGGAACGCACCGCCUCUUGGUCAACACCGCCACCGGCCGAAUCCUCCACAAAGAGCUCCCUCUGCUCUCUGACUACUAUAUCGUCACUACGUCUCUCGACGGCUUCUUCGUCCUGGCAGAUAGGAGCCCCCCUCAUGCUGCUCGUGUCUUCAACCCUCUCACUGGUGGCAUCAUCCCUUUCACGGUGCCCGUGCCGCCUGAUGUGAAUGCCCCCUGUUCGCUCUGCUUUGGGUUCGCUUCGCCCGUGCUCACCUUGCUCUCCAAGUCAUGUUGCAAGAUAUACAUAGCCAGUCCUCACAGUUUUGGCGCCCAUGACUUUGAGCUUUCACUCUAUGGUCUUAUUAGGAGGCAGGUCAAAGACGACACCCGGUGUUUCCUAAUGGAUUUUGGUGGACAACUGAUGGCCAUCAUCAAGGGACAACUCGUCCAGAAUUUAAGGUACGAAGCCAAGAAUGGCGUGCUUUUGCAUUUGAAGAGCAUUGGCAACCAUGCCAUCUUCCUUGGUCAUCAUAGGUGCCUAGCUGUGGAUACUGAUAUGUUCCCAUUGAUUGAGGCAAACUGUGUUUACUACACUGAACAACUGGGUUUAUCUGCUCGUAUAUGGAAAUGCAACAUCAAGGACGAGAAAGUUGAGAGCAUCUCGGAAGCCGUUGAUUUUGUGAAGCAGGAUAAGCAGUUUGUCCUCGUCGGCGACCGUCCUUUAAUGAUCAUCCAGCUUCUGUCAAGCUACACCAUAAAUAUCCAGGAUUCUGAACUGGCCUUACAGCAGAUCGCAUGA